rnacentral:rRNA from 1 species
CAGCAGCCGCGGUAAUACGUAGGGUGCAAGCGUUACUCGGAAUUACUGGGCGUAAAGCGUGCGUAGGUGGUGGUUUAAGUCCGUUGUGAAAGCCCUGGGCUCAACCUGGGAAUUGCAGUGGAUACUGGGUCACUAGAGUGUGGUAGAGGAUAGUGGAAUUUCCGGUGUUGCAGUGAAAUGCGUAGAGAUCGGAAGGAACAUCUGUGGCGAAGGCGACUAUCUGGGCCAACACUGACACUGAGGCACGAAAGCGUGGGGAGCAAACAGGAUUAGAUACCCCAGUAGUUCCUGUCUCUUAUAU